UCUCUGCUCUCUUUCUUCUCUGCCGCCGGGAGAGAAUCGUGUGUUGAGUGAGGGUGGUUGAGCGAGGCAAAUUAGGGUAGAGAGAUUUAAAUACCGUGUUUUGUGAGACUAAGGGAGAUUAUGGGAGAGGAGAAAGAGGAGAAAGACGCGUAAAGAUGUAGGAGGAGAAAUCUUUGCAGAUUUAUUUGACUGCAAUUGAAAUUAAAGGAAAAUUUUCAGAUUUAUUUGACUGCAAUCGAAAUUAAAGGAAAGUUUUUGAAAUCAAGAAAAAGCUCUUACAAUUUAAUUAAAUUAAUUUGGGCUCAAACCCUUUCUAUCUAUUUCAUUUAAAUUAUGUAGCUUGCAAAUUAUGUUUCACAAGAUCGGACUUAUAUUAUUUAUUUAUUUUUAUCGGAUCCAUUGCGGAA